GCAGGGGCAGGGCUGGUUAGUGCUUGGAUGGGAGACCGCCCGGGAGGACCGGGUGCUGUAGGCUU
rnacentral:precursor_RNA from 1 species